CUUGACCUCUUCUAGCUCGGACUUUGGGUUUAGUCUGAGGUGGCCCCGCGGUGCCACCGGUGGUAGUUUUCGCCGUCGCUGUCGCAUGCGAUGAAAUGGGAUCAUGCCUGAGGGAGGUGGAAAGGGAGAGAUCCGGCGGAGAAGCCAUUGUAGAGAGCUUGAAUGGAGCCGUCAACGUCGUUUGGAUUAUGGUGAGGGAGAGGAACCGUCGUGAUCUGGUUUCUGGCGUCAGAGGCGGGUGAAGGACCGUCGUCGAGGAUGGAGAGAGGCCAAGGAGCGGAGGAGAAGAUGUGGUGGAGGAAGUCAUCAUGGUCAAAAGUGGCUGGAGACUGGAGAUGAGGAGAAGAAGAAGAAGAUGAAGAUGAAGAAGGGGUUAAAAGAGAUGAGUUCAUGGCUUCUGCUUCUUCCACUGGUUUCUAAAACUUCUAUUUGAGCUGAGAAAUGGAUGUCUAUUGAAGAUGUGGACUAGUGGAGGUUUAAGGCUUUACGGUUUUUCAAGGAGAGAUUAUGUGUUUGAUUGGUAGUUUCCUAGGUGAUGUCUAUACCUUCCACUUAUUUGUACAGUAUUAAAUUCAUAAUAAUCAACCUUUAAUAAACUUUUAAUAAA